AGGAGGCUGAGUCACUGGGGUCUGGACUGAACACCCCAAGGGAGUCCCAUGACAAGGUUCCUGCAUGGUUUUUUAGGCAAGAGAUGGGGGUAGGUGAGCAGAGGUGCCCUCAUCAGUGUCCAGAUAUGCAAAGAGGUGGACCAUCACAAACACAAUGCAAGGUGCUGAGGCUGGGGAUACAUGGCUAAGGAAGAGGUUGACCGCAGAGCAGAG
rnacentral:lncRNA from 1 species